rnacentral:rRNA from 1 species
UUCGGCCUGGUGGCGAGUGGCGAACGGGUGAGUAAUGCGUCGGAACGCGCCGAGUAGUGGGGGAUAACGCGGCGAAAGCUGUGCUAAUACCGCAUACGUACUGAGGUAGAAAGUGGGGGACCUUCGGGCCUCACGCUAUUCGAGCGGCCGACGUCUGAUUAGCUAGUUGGUGGGGUAAAGGCUCACCAAGGCGACGAUCAGUAGCGGGUCUGAGAGGAUGAUCCGCCACACUGGGACUGAGACACGGCCCAGACUCCUACGGGAGGCAGCAGUGGGGAAUUUUGGACAAUGGGCGCAAGCCUGAUCCAGCCAUGCCGCGUGUCUGAAGAAGGCCUU